rnacentral:rRNA from 1 species
UACGUAGGGUGCGAGCAUUGUCCGGAAUUAUUGGGCGUAAAGGGCUCGUAGGCGGUUUGUCGCGUCGGGAGUGAAAACUCAGGGCUUAACCCUGAGCCUGCUUCCGAUACGGGCAGACUAGAGGUAUGCAGGGGAGAACGGAAUUCCUGGUGUAGCGGUGAAAUGCGCAGAUAUCAGGAGGAACACCGGUGGCGAAGGCGGCACUCUGGGCCGGAACUGACGCUGAGGAGCGAAAGCGUGGGGAGCGAACAGG